GCAUUUUUUCCUGGGGAAAAAAAAAACAACCUUCGAAUUUGAUGCUGAUUUUAUAGAGUAAUCAUAUUUCUCUUUACUGAGAAUAUUUUGUACCAAGCAUAAUAUUUUUACCUGCAGUAGUAUGAAUUCCAUUUAAAAAUGAAAACAAAAACAUUCAGACAUUGUAAUUCCCAUAUAUUCCAGGCUAUUGCUAGCCCUCUAACUUCUUGGUUUUGUUACUUCUUUAGUCUUGCUUUGUUUUUCAAAAAAAGAGAAGCUUCCUCAAUGGAUAAAAAUUUCCAUAUUUUUUCACAUAAUAUGGUACUCAAUUCUUCAGCAUACAAAAUGAUAUAGUGCCCACUAACGAAAACAGAAUGAUUCCAGAUUUGAAUCAACGUGCUUACACUUCAAAAACGGGGUGCACACAUAUCACAGGUAAUCAUAAUAUUCAGAUAUCAGAAACGCUGCUGGAAAAUGAUUCAGAAGACCAAGGUAUUGUCUUAAAUGAUGUGAAAACGUCAUUCUUCAGGACAAAGAAAAGAAGUGUCUAUUAAAGCAGAUUUAUUAUUACCAUUAGUUGGCUGGAAAAAUUUUUGGAAGUACUAACAUCCAGAACUGAAAAAAAAUAAAAAAAGAA